AUAUAAGUGUCGAGCGUACUAAAGCUCUCACUCAAGGUUUAAGCUUAAAGAUGCACCUAUAGAACUAGCAUUGGACUCCAGGUAAAAGAAAGAUUUAUACCUAAAUUUUCAUACUAAGAGUUAAAGCUCGUGUAUGCCUCCGAUUAGUCUCGUCGAGAGGUAUCUCUAUUUAUGUUCCGUAUAGGAAUCCUUUGAUCGAGAAUUUUGUAAUAGAGUAAGUGGUGUCGAAGUCGACUUGUAAUAGAACCUCCUUUUGUAAACACGAUGGUAUAGAUAUUGGGGGUUUAAUGUUUUGAUCAU